rnacentral:siRNA from 1 species
ACUCGAAUUGUUGUACAUUGUGUA